UUGGCUUCUCCGAUUCCAAUGGAUAAGUCUCUCUCCCAUCCCAAAUGAAGUUCUGUAUUUUGUGUUUCUGUUUUAUUUUAUUUUCUUGUCUAUAUUUACGUCAUAAAGAUAAUUAACUUUUUCCUCUUUUUUCCUGAAGUCUUCCGUCACUAAGUCAAACAAUAGUUGGUCUCUUUUGACUAUUAUCUUGUUUUCAAUGCCUUUUCCUCUUAGUUAUAAUGGCUUUUCUGAAGUCUUACAUUUUUUUCCUAUAUAUUUUAGCAAGUAUGAAGAUGAGUCUCUCUUUCUCUCACUAAAGCUAUGAUGGAGAAAAGUAUGAAAAAUUGGAGAGAAAAGGAAAAAUUGAAUGAAUAGUAGGACCAAAUCCUCGGGGUUGAGGAGGAAGCUAUCAAUUUACACUUCCUCCCAUAAAAGAAAGUAAACAAACAAAUUAAAAUGGAGGGAGUAGUAACUAAAUAAGUAUCAGGCUUUAAAUUCAUUUAACAAGGAUUUCCAAUGACAACAACAAAAACAACAACAAACCCAGUGUAUUCCCACCUAGUGGGGUCUGGGGGGUAAGAUGUACGCAGUCCAUACCACUACUUCAGGAGAAGUAGAAAGACUGUUUUCGAUAGACCCCCGGCUUAAGAAAAGGAGUAAUAAACAAAUACUUAAUAAAGCAUGGAACAAGAUGUCAAGACAUAAAUACGCCACCCACAAGGAAUAAUAAACAAAGUAUAGUAAUCACAUUCGUAAUAAGGCAUGCAAAAAAGUGUCCUAAUAAGAAUAAUACAUCUACCAAGGAAUGUCCUACCCCACGACUCAAACUAGAACUAGCCUUGUAUCCUAAUCCGCGUCCUUCAGAUCUUCCUAUCUAGGGUCAUGUCCUCAGUGAGCUAUAACUGCUCCAUGUCCCGCCUGAUUACCUCUCUCCAAUAUUUCUUUGGCCUACCCCUACCCCGCCUGAAACUAUCCAACACAAGCUUCUCAUAUCUACGAACCGGGGCAUCCGUGACUCUCCUCAUCACAUGCCCAAACCAUCUCAAUCGGACUUCCCGCAUCUUGUCCUCCACCGAAGUCAUUCCAACCUUCUCCUGAAUAGUCUUAUUUUGAAUUCUAUCACCCCUAUUAAGCCCACACAUCCAACGCCACAUCUGCAUUUUUGCCACCUUUAAUUUUUGAAUGUGAGAUUUCUUGACUGGCCAGCAUUCCGCUCCAUACAUCAUGGUUGGAUGGACUGCCACCCUAUAGAAUUUGCCUUUAAACUUGGGCGGCACCUUCCUAUCACACAAUUCCCUCGAGGCGAGCUUUCACUUGAUCCAUCCCACCCCAAUAUGGUGGGAGACAUCCUUGUGAAUCUUACUAUUCCUCUGAAUUAUGGACCCCGGAUACUUUAAACUAUCCCUCUUACACACCAUCUGGGAAUCCAGCCUUACUACCACCUCGUCUUCCUGCCUCAUAUCAUUAAACUUAUAUUCCAAAUAUUUUGUUUUUAUCCUGCUCAACAUGAACCCUUUAGACUCAAGGGUCUGUCUCCAUAGCUCUAAUUUAUCAUUCACACACCCCCGCUUCUCAUCAAUCAAAACUACAUCAUCUGCCAAAAGCAUACACCAAGGCCUCUCCUUGAAUACUCCGCGUCAACAUAUCCAUCACCAGAGCAAACAAAAAUGGGCUAAGAGUGGAACCCUGGUGCAACCCUAUCAAAAUAGGGAAAUGCUCUGAGUCUCCUCCCGCCGUCCUCACCUGAGUCUUAGCUCCAUUAUACAUGUCUUUGAUUGCUUUAAUAUACGCCACCGGUACCCCACUCACCUCCAAGCAUCUCCAAAGCACCUCCCUAGGAACUUUGUCGUACACCUUCUCCAAGUCGAUAAACACCAUGUGCAAAUCUCUCUUCCUUUCCCUAUACUGUUCCACCAGUCUCUGCACCAGGUGAAUUGUCUCCGUCAUCGAGCGCCUGGGCAUAAAUCCAAAUUGAUUUUCCGAGAUAAGACACUAUCCUCCUCAACCUUAACUCGACCACUCUCUCCCAAAUCUUCAUAGUGUGUCUCAAUAACUUAAUACCUCUCUAGUUAUUACAACUCUAAAUAGUGUUCCUUUUGUGAGAGAGUUAUUGCAACUCUAAAUACUGUUAUUCUAAUGACAACAGAAGAAAAUUAAUAGUGUUCCUUUUGUGAGAGAGUUCCAAUAAACGUUGCUUUCUGGAAAUUAUUUAACAUUGUUAAACUGCUUUUCUUUUUAUUGUAUCAGAUGACAAACAAAUUCUGGUGUUGGCCACAGCCAGUGUGGAUAAGAAAGUGAAGUUGUAGGCAGCUCCAUCCCUGAAUGCAUCAUGAAUGAACGAGAGCCUUUCCUAUAAAUGACAAACUUUUGUUGUUUCGCCCAGUUUUUUGAUAUAAUAGACCCUAGGGGAACUCACAUCAGAAGAUCAGAAUACAAGCGAAGUUAAAGGAUUGAAUGCUUACAUCUUCUGAGGGCUUUAUGCAAAGAGAGAGAUAACCAGAAUAUAGUAAAGCUAGAGGAAAAUUUUAUGCUAUACAUAUGGGUGGUGGUUUUCAGUGUCAAGAUUUUGAGGAAUGAUGAAUUUGUUGCUGAUCUAUUUUAGAUCUUAGAACUGGAAAAUAUACUUUUCGUUCUGUUUCAAUUUAAAAGAAGAAUACACAAUCUGAAGUUUCAUUUUCUUGCAGAAGAGGUAGACAGUGAUGUGCUUGUUCACGUUUGUUG
rnacentral:lncRNA from 1 species